GUUCUUUUACGUGUUGCUGAUAGCCGGCUACCUAGCUAGCGCCGCUAGCACCGCUAGCGUAUGACGACACUACGCAAUGACGACACCCCUCCUCCGCUUUGAAAUUGACCGUAGACAUGAUUUUCUGAGACAACGUGGCUAUCGUUUCACCGGUAACGCGUCUUUCCCCCCUCCUCCGCUUUGGACUUGAACUUACAGUGAUUUUCUGAAGUGUUUACUAAGACACACCGUAAGCUUUUAUAAGGUAAGUGUAUCUCUCUGUCUCUGGUUUGAAAUUUAGCUUUGAAAAUUAUUUUUUUAUGUGUUUCUUUAUCGAUUUCUUUGUUUCGGCACGUUCGACACGAUGCUAAAGCCAGUUAGCGGAUAUUCAGCUAAGGCAAGCGUUUCUGUCCCUCCUCCGGUUUUGAAAUUGACCUUUAAAAGUGCUUUUCUGUGUCUUGACGCUGAUAUCUACAAAAUGACUGUGAUUUUAUUCCAGUGGUAUCGUUUGUAAUUGAAACUUUUAAGAUGCGGCUCUCAAAAAAUGGCUUCAUUGUAGUCGGGUUUCACACCUCUCUUUGUCUCGUGGUUUUGUUGCUGGCUAGUUAGCGGAUAUUAAACGUCUCCCGGUUUGAAAUUGAUUUUGAAAGUGAUUUACUAUGAUAAGGUAAGCUUAUCUCUGUCUCUGGUUUGAUAUUUAGCUUUGAAAGUGAUUUUUUUUGUGUGUUUCUUUAUCGAUUUCUUUGUUUCGGCACGUUCGACAGGAUGCUAAAGCCUUUUAGCGGAUAGUCAGCUAAGGUGUUAACUACAGCAGCCUUUAAUACCUCAACUCUUGAUUCAGCCAAGGUAAGUGCCCCCCCUUAUAUUUUCUAUGUAUGCAUUCAGCUGAUAUUUAGAAAAAAAUAGGUGUGUUUAGCGCUGGAUGUCAUUUUAUUCCAGAGCUGUUGUUUGUAAUUAAAACUUUUAAGAUUAGAUGGUACAGUGUUUUUACUCCCUUCCAAACAGUAAAGUUCCUCUUUGUCUCUCAGUAGGAAAUUUAAACCAGACAGUACAAGGCUACAUUUCAGUGUUACAAGCCAAUCAGUUUGCUAAUUGUUCUGUGAGAUUUGUUUGCAAAGUUUAAGGUGUUAAGUAGGACUGUGAACAUCUGGGUCUGCUUGCUGCUGGCAUUCUGCCAGAGCCCCAGCAACAAGACCGCCUCCCAGCAACGAGACUGCCUGUCAGCCUUGCAAGGUACC